rnacentral:lncRNA from 1 species
GGAAAUCAAACUUUAGUUUAUCCUAAAUUAUAUUCUCUUGGUCUAACUAAAUUUAUUGCAUUUUGAAGUAAUAGAAUUACUAAGUUCCAACUGAUAAAACAAUGGAAUCACUGACUCUGGAAUCACACGUUAUUCUAUAUUUGAAAAUCGAAAGUAACCCCCCAACCAACAAAUUAAUAAAGAAAAAAUGGAAGUAAAACUGCCCAUCUUCUUCAUGGCAAAUAGCGAAGCAAGAGGUAGGUAUAAAAUCCGAAAUGGCUUCCCGAACUGUUGGCCAAGUCCCCCACAAAGGACAAUCCAUCUACCAACUGAUCACGCGCAGUGCACGUGAACCCUGCAAAAACCCAUAUCAAGCCAAAUGAGUUAAGGUCCCCACCUUCUACAUGACUGAUAAAAAACCUGCAAUCCUGCAUGCAAAAAACAGCUUUGAAAAGUAGCCAUCCCCGCACCGGCUUCCUCCAUUAACACUGGCCCGAGCUUUGGCACUGCAUGCCAGUUGGUAGUGUAGCCUUAAUUAGAGCUGCCUGGUUUUGUAGUUGCAUUCAAAGCUGAGGGGUCCCACUUUCGUCUUUCCUCUCCCCUUCACAAUGCAUCCCUCUGAAGAAGAGGGUUGGCCCCAACUGUAAUUAAAGAUGAAAAAGAUGUGUUUGAGGGGUCCCUACAAAGCUGGAGAAUGGGGAGCCAAGGGAUUUGCUGCACUCCUUCCAUGAAGCAAUAUGCGAGUGAAACGUUGCUUUCAACUCUUUGUCCAUACACUUAACCACAAAGGAAUACAACUCCAACUCCAACUCCAUUUUAUAAUCUUUUUAUAUAUAUAACAUAAUAUUUAUUAUUCUCAAAUGACCGCUUUGUUUUCUAAAAAGAGAAAAUCAAACUCCAUUUCCAUUUGAGUUUGAUGAAUAGUGUUUGACUUGUGAGAGGAUUC